UACGGAGGGUGCAAGCAUUGAUCGGAAUUACUGGGCGUAAAGGGCGCGUAGGCGGCUGUAAAAGUCGGAUGUGAAAUUCCGGGGCUCAACCCCGGAGCUGCAUUUGAAACUCUACAGCUAGAGUACAGUUAGGGUAAUCGGAAUUCCACGUGUAGCGGUGAAAUGCGUAGAUAUGUGGAAGAACACCGGUGGUGAAGACGGAUUACUGGGCUGUAACUGACGCUGAGGCGCGAAAGCAUGGGGAG
rnacentral:rRNA from 1 species